rnacentral:rRNA from 1 species
ACUGCUAUCGGAUUGAUACUAAGCCAUGCGAGUCUUUGUAGUAAUACAAGGCAGACGGCUCAGUAACACGUAGUCAAUCUACCCUAUGGACGAGGAUAACCUCGGGAAACUGAGAAUAAUACUCGAUAGAUCAUUAUACCUGGAAUGGUUUAUGGUCGAAAUGAUUUAUCGCCGUAGGAUGGGACUGCGGCCUAUCAGUUUGUUGGUGAGGUAAUGGCCCACCAAGACUAUUACAGGUACGGGCUCUGAGAGGAGAGGCCCGGAGAUGGGUACUGAGACACGGACCCAGGUCCUAUGGGGCGCAGCAGGCGAGAAAACUUUGCAAUGUGCGAAAGCACGACAAGGUUAAUCCGAGUGUUUCCUGCUAAAGGAAUCUUUUGUCAGUCCUAAAAACACUGAUGAAUAAGGGGUGGGCAAGUUCUGGUGUCAGCCGCCGCGGUAAAACCAGCACCUCAAGUGGUCAGGAGGAUUAUUGGGCCUAAAGCAUCCGUAGCCGGCUGUGUAAGUUUUCGGUUAAAUCCAUGCGCUCAACGUAUGGGCUGCCGGGAAUACUGUACAGCUAGGGAGUGGGAGAGGUAGACGGUACUCGGUAGGAAGGGGUAAAAUCCUUUGAUCUAUUGAUGACCACCUGUGGCGAAGGCGGUCUACCAGAACACGUCCGACGGUGAGGGAUGAAAGCUGGGGGAGCAAACCGGAUUAGAUACCCGGGUAGUCCCAGCUGUAAACUAUGCAAACUCAGUGAUGCACUGGCUUGUGGCCAGUGCAGUGCCGCAGGGAAGCCGUUAAGUUUGCCGCCUGGGAAGUAUGUACGCAAGUAUGAAACUUAAAGGAAUUGGCGGGGGAGCACCACAAGGGGUGAAG